UACGGAGGGGGGUUAGCGUUGUUCGGAAUUACUGGGCGUAAAGCGCACGUAGGCGGACUAUUAAGUCAGAGGUGAAAAUCCCGGGGGCUCAACCCCGGAACUGCCUUUGAUACUGGUAGUCUUGAGUUCGAGAGAGGUGAGUGGAAUUCCGAGUGUAGAGGUGAAAAUUCGUAGAUAUUCGGAGGAACACCAGUGGCGAAGGCGGCUCACUGGCUCGAUACUGACGCUGAGGUGCGAAAAGUGUGGGGGAGCAAAACAGGAUUAGAUACCCCGCUGUA
rnacentral:rRNA from 1 species